AGUUGAUGAAUUUGUAUAAAUAUAUGUUUUGAAAACAUAAUAAAGAGUUAAAUUCUCUAUUAACUU
rnacentral:tRNA from 1 species